ACGAGAGCUGGAGAGCAGGAAGUCUUGGGAAGAGCGAAGGGGGCAGUUUGGGUGAUAUUUUGAGAGGAGGUAGGUGAUGUAGGUUGCGGUGGAGUUGUAGAUGGCUUUGUAGGUUAUUGUUAGCAUUUAGAAUUUUAUGCGUUGGGAAAGUCUGAGCCAGUGGAGCGAUUGGCAGAGGGGGGAAGCAGAGGAGGA